rnacentral:rRNA from 1 species
UACGUAGGGUGCGAGCGUUAAUCGGAAUUACUGGGCGUAAAGCGUGCGCAGGCGGUUUUGUAAGACGGAUGUGAAAUCCCCGGGCUUAACCUGGGAACUGCAUUUGUGACUGCAUCGCUAGAGUACGGUAGAGGGGGAUGGAAUUCCGCGUGUAGCAGUGAAAUGCGUAGAUAUGCGGAGGAACACCGAUGGCGAAGGCAAUCCCCUGGACCUGUACUGACGCUCAUGCACGAAAGCGUGGGGAGCAAACAGG